CAGCAGCCACGGGAAUACAGAGGGUGCAAGCGUUAAUCGGAAUUACUGGGCGUAAAGCGCGCGUAGGUGGUUUGUUAAGUUGGAUGUGAAAUCCCCGGGCUCAACCUGGGAACUGCAUCCAAAACUGGCAAGCUAGAGUAUGGUAGAGGGUGGUGGAAUUUCCUGUGUAGCGGUGAAAUGCGUAGAGAUCUGGAGGAAUACCGGUGGCGAAGGCGGCCCCCUGGACAAAGACUGACGCUCAGGUGCGAAAGCGUGGGGAGCAAACAGGAUUAGAUACCCCUGUAGUCCCUGUCUCUUAUAC
rnacentral:rRNA from 1 species